CACGGGUGAGUAACACGUAUCCAACCUGCCGUCUACUCUUGGCCAGCCUUCUGAAAGGAAGAUUAAUCCAGGAUGGCAUCAUGAGUUCACAUGUCCGCAUGAUUAAAGGUAUUUUCCGGUAGACGAUGGGGAUGCGUUCCAUUAGAUAGUAGGCGGGGUAACGGCCCACCUAGUCAACGAUGGAUAGGGGUCCUGAGAGGAAGGUCCCCCACAUUGGAACUGAGACACGGUCCAA
rnacentral:rRNA from 1 species